rnacentral:lncRNA from 1 species
UUCAAAAGAAGAGAAGAGCCCAGAGAGUCGGUUACGAAAAGCAAAGAAGAAUGAAGGAGACGAAGAAAAGGUUUUAGUGAAGGAGACGAGGAAAAGAAAUAAGAAUUAGAAGAGACAGAAAGAAGGGGAAGCUUGGGGAAGAAGAAAAGGCCGUCGUAUCGAACUGCCGCAUCGAUUACGAGUCCCAAGGUCGGCUAUAAUGAUGAAUAGACAACGACAAUUAAGAGGAUUUAUUCAAUGCCGCACAUGAGACAAAAGUAGAGAAUACGAUCAGGGCCGUAAAGAAGAAAAUAAACGGCUUAGAUUAAACCGUAUAAAAAAUCAUGGGUGCAGAAUACGUCAGAGAAUUUGAAUUUGAUUGGACCGAGAAAUACGCCUCGAAUCAAGCUCGCUUUCGGCAACAGAAAAUUGUUUGAAAUGAAAAAGGUAACGCCAGCUACCGAAGCAUCGCUUCGAAAACUGGCGAGGGGGCAAUUAUUGAGCCAGUUA